UUCGAGGCAUUUCCAUGCUCAUUCCAACCGUAUAUUAAAACACUUCCUUUCUUUGUCCUUAAAAUAUUGUGCUCAGUUCCACUGGCGAUUUGGACGAUAUCACUUGCUUUUGUAUGGGCCUUCUGAGCACGAUCACAACGACCAAAAGCAUAGACACAGCCUUCAGUACUUAAUAGACUCAAGGUAGACCAGUUUGCUGAUAUAGAGCAGAUGGAAGAAGACAAUUCACUGUUAUUUGCUUGCCAAGCAUCACAUUCUGCUGCUACAUUCCACUUCUCCCCUCCUAAAACAAUUACAUGUCCUGUUUCUUGCAAUACUGCACUGAACUGUACACCACAUACAACAGCUUGAGCAUGUUCAAUACGCCCGAGAAAUGAAACCUUGUUAACUGUUUUCAUAACUACCGGUCCAAGUUGUCCUUUGCGGCCAUCUCCACAACCAUACAAGUUCCCUUCAUUUGUAACACAAAUCCAGUGUCUUAAUCCAGCCGAGAUAUCAAUAAUGAACUCUUUAUCGUCAAGGUAAGGAAUGUCAAUUUCCCUCAAACCUUGACUAUUACUGCGAUUCCCUUGACCCAAUUCACCGGAAAGUCCUUCACCACAUGAACAAACACGUCUUCGAUCAGCAUGUACUAUAACGCUGAAUUCCCAACCACAAGUCAGGAAAACCCAACGCUCAUGACUAACACGGGUGAAUAUCCGUAAAUAGUCUGGACUUAGGGGAUUGUAAAGAGGUUCUUUCACUUCAUAUCCACAUUGUCCCUUGCGAUUAUCACCACAAGCCCAUAGUUGAGAAUCCUCAUCUAACAAUAGGGUGUGGUUUCCACCACAUGAGAUUUUUUCAAUUGCACGGUCAAAUGGCACUAUCUGUGGGCUGUAAACAUCCUCAUCAUUGUUCAAACCAAGUUGGAAGUUACCAUUUGAACCUAAAGAUAGCAGCAUAGAAAUAUUAGUUGUGGGUUUCUAAAGUGGUGGCACAAUGGAGGUUUGUAAAAUUUCAUCUU